CAGUAGCCGCGGGAACACGAAGGGGGCUAGCGUUGCUCGGAUUUACUGGGCGUAAAGGGUGCGUAGGCGGAUCGGUUAGUUGGGGGUGAAAGCCCGGGGCUCAACCUCGGAAUUGCCUUCAAUACUGGCGGUCUUGAGUAUGGAAGAGGUAAGUGGAACUCCGAGUGUAGAGGUGAAAUUCGUAGAUAUUCGGAAGAACACCGGUGGCGAAGGCGACUUACUGGUCCAUUACUGACGCUGAGGCACGAAAGCGUGGGGAGCAAACAGGAUUAGAUACCCCCGUAGUCCCUGUCUCUUAUAC
rnacentral:rRNA from 1 species